UACGUAGGGGGCAAGCGUUGUCCGGAUUUAUUGGGCGUAAAGGGCGCGUAGGUGGCCUGCUAAGCGUGCGGUGAAAGUCGGGGGCUCAACCCCCGAUCGGCCGUGCGAACUGGGAGGCUUGAGCACUGUAGAGGCAGGCGGAAUUCCGGGUGUAGCGGUGGAAUGCGUAGAGAUCCGGAAGAACACCGGUGGCGAAGGCGGCCUGCUGGGCAGUUUUGCUGACACUGAGGCGCGACAGCGUGGGGAGCAAACAGG
rnacentral:rRNA from 1 species